rnacentral:lncRNA from 1 species
UAGCACUCUAUCAGCCCUGGGUUUCAGGGAGUGACUUUCAUUCCUUGAGCCUCAGUUUCCCCCCGCUUGUCUCACUGGAUAUCUCUGAGCCUGUCCAUCCCCUCAGGGCCUGGGGCGGCCCUCUGAUAGAGGAGGAAGGGUCCCAGCCACAGUCCUGCUAAGCGCAACGUCGCGCCCCAGGUGCCCCACCUCAACCAGAAUGCCUGGAACAACCUGGAGAAAUAUAGCCGCAGCUUGACCCGCAGCUACCAAAACGUCUAUGUCUGCACAGGGCCACUCUUCCUGCCCAGGUCCGAGGUGCACCGAGCUCUCCCGCCUUCCCCAUGCAGGUCCCCAGUGCACCGAGCUCUCAUGCCUUCCCCCUGCAGGUCCGCGGUGCACCAGGCUCUCCCGCCUUCAGUCUCUGCUCUGCUUGGAGCACUUCCCUCCACCCUUCUCGGGAGUUUGAAUCUAGAUCUGCCUGACCCAGGGCCUCCACUCUUGCUCCUGUGCAGCCCUGCCUCUCAGGACAGAGGCUGAUGGGAAAUCCUACGUAAAAUACCAG